AGAGACAGAGACAAUGUUAAUAGUUUCAUGAUUUGAUCUUACUGCAUGCCUUUCUUGUCUUUCCACUUUUGUCCAGAGCUUAAUCAACAGUUGGUCACAGAUUGCUGUAUUCAUUGCAUCUUUCACGAAAAACAGAAAGCUAAAUUGUUUUGGAGGAAAGACAGAUGAGCAAAUGGGUGAUCUGAAGAAGUAAACAGGAAGCUCUAAGCGUGAACAAUCACACAUGUGUAUUUCAGAGACAAAAGCCCUCAUACGUAGGUGAGAUCUUCACAGAGCUCCUAAGCCAGCAAAUAGAACACCAGCUUCAAUGCCUUUCACCCUCCACUCCAAAGUAUAAACAUAGGUGCAAGAUCAUUUCCACCAAGUUCCUGAGGAAUAAAGAAGGAUCAAAUUCCAGCAAUAUUACAGAGAAUGGAAGAGUUAGACUGGGAACAAAACUGCCUGGUGGGUACAUAAUCAAGGAGUACACACAAAUUUCUUAAUACUUGUAGACUAUGUAUUACUGGGAAAAUGAAAUAUAUAGAUUGUGAAGAUUAUGGCAGAUAAAUAAACUUAGCUGUGACUUCCAUAACAUCUGGG
rnacentral:lncRNA from 1 species